rnacentral:sRNA from 1 species
AAGAAGGACAUUUGCUAAUGAAGACUGUGGAAGGGUCUUGCUCUGUCACCCAGGCUGGAGUGCGGUAGUGUGAUCAUGGCUCACUGCGGCCUCCACCUCCCAGGCUCGUGAUCCUCCCCCCUCAGCCUCCUGAGUAACUGGGACCACAGAUGCAGCAGCUUUUUUAUGAGAAUUAUGAGCAGAACAAAAAGGGGUACAUUAGAGAUCUCCAUAACAGUAAAAUUCACCAAGCUAUCACAUUACACCCCAACAAAAACCCACCCUACCAGUACAGGCUCCACAGCUACAUGCUGAGCCGCAAAAUAGCCGAGCUCCGCCAUCGCACAAUACAGCUGCACCGUGAAAUUGUCCUGAUGAGCAAAUACAGCAACACAGAAAUUCAUAAAGAGGACCUCCAGCUGGGAAUCCCUCCUUCCUUCAUGAGGUUUCAGCCCCGCCAGCGGGAGGAGAUUCUGGAAUGGGAGUUUCUGACUGGAAAAUACUUGUAUUCGGCAGUUGACGGCCAGCCCCCUCGAAGAGGAAUGGACUCCGCUCAGAGGGAAGCCUUGGACGA